GCCAGGUGUGGUGGUGCAUACCUGUAGUCCCAGCUACUCAGGAGGCUGAGGUGGGAGGAUUGCUUGAGCCCAGGAAGUCACUGCAGUGUGUUGUGAUCUCGCCACUGCACUCCAGCCUGGGUGACAGAGUGAGACCUUGCCUCUA
rnacentral:SRP_RNA from 1 species